rnacentral:rRNA from 1 species
CCUACGGGGCGCAGCAGUCGAGAAUCAUUCACAAUGGGGGAAACCCUGAUGGUGCGACGCCGCGUGGGGGAAUGAAGGUCUUCGGAUUGUAAACCCCUGUCAUGUGGGAGCAAAUUAAAAAGAUAGUACCACAAGAGGAAGAGACGGCUAACUCUGUGCCAGCAGCCGCGGUAAUACAGAGGUCUCAAGCGUUGUUCGGAAUCACUGGGCGUAAAGCGUGCGUAGGCUGUUUCGUAAGUCGUGUGUGAAAGGCGCGGGCUCAACCCGCGGACGGCACAUGAUACUGCGAGACUAGAGUAAGGGAGGGGGAACCGGAAUUCGCGGUGUAGCAGUGAAAUGCGUAGAUAUCGAGAGGAACACUCGUGGCGAAGGCGGGUUCCUGGACAUUAACUGACGCUGAGGCACGAAGGCCAGGGGAGCGAAAGGGAUUAGAUACCCGGGUAGUC